UUUCAUCAUGGUGUUGAUUUGUAUUUCCCUGAUGAUGAGUGACGUUGACCAUCUUUUGUUAACCAUUUGGAUGUCUUUUUUGGAAAUGUGUCUAUUCAUGUCUUCGUCCCAUUUCUUAACUGGGUUUCUUGGUGUUGGGAAGACCAAGUAUGCACCAAGUUGCAUACUUAACUGAACUUUCCAUGUGAACAUUCAGUAAAUAUUUAUUGAGUACCAGUUCUGUGCCUUGUACUGUACUUGAGGCUGGUGACACAGGACACAGUCUGUGGAGUUCUCAUAGAGCUUACUUUUUAAUGAGGGGAGGGGGAUAGACAAAAAUACCAAUUAGCUCUAGGUACUAUUCUGAUAACUAAAAUAGGGAGGUGUGAUAAAGUGUGACUAGGUGGCUACAUUUAUUGGACCAGGGAAAGCCUUUCUGAGAUGACAUUAAGUGACAGGCAGGAGAUUAUGAUGAACUCAAAGAACUCCUUUAACUCAAAGUUAAAUGAACUUAUGCAUUCCAGAAGAUACAGUAGGUACAACAACCCUAAGGUGAGAAUAAGGUUGGUGAAUGAAGGAACAGAAAGUCAGUGUGGCUGGAGCAUGGUGAGAGAAAGGGGAAGUGACAAAGGACAAGAUUGGAAAGAUAGAGGGUGAACAUCCACUUUAAUUUCUGACUUGGCAUGUUCAUUCCAAACUUAGCCUUUCCACUUCCCACCCCAACCAGUUCCUCCAAAAUUUUUCUUUUCUACCCAAUUAGACUCUAAACCUAGGAGUCUUCUGUAGCUACCCUUCAGAAAUCUGAAAUGUCUCUUUUGUUUGUGCUGUCCUUUUCUUUCCUAUUGAUAUACAUUCCCAAUAUCUGAUUCCUUCACAUCUAUAUUGUAAUAACCUUUGAAUGUCCUCACCACCUCUGGCUUUAUCAGUAUUUUCAUUCUCAUCCUUCCAGGUACAUGGUAGGAUUGUUCUUCCCAUCUCCUUAAAAGUAGGCGUGGCCAUGGACUUGCUUUGACUGAUGAAAUGUGUGAGAAGCAUGAGGGCCACACACUUAACUUUUCCUGCCCUGUGACUGGUGAUGUUUAAAAGGCCCCAUCAGCCUGGGGCCCUGGUGAGAAUAAUGAAGCAAAGUCGCCUUCUUGCCACCUCCUUCUUCCCAGAUGGACUUUCAGCAUGAGUAAGAAAUAAUCUGUUUUUUUUUUUUUUUUAAAUAUUUUAUUUAUUUAUUUAUGAUAGUCAUACAGAGAGAGAGAGAGGCAGAGACACAGGCAGAGGGAGAAGCAGGCUCCAUGCACCGGGAGCCCGAUGUGGGACUCGAUCCCGGGUCUCCAGGAUCGCGCCCUGGGCCAAAGGCAGGCGCCAAACCGCUGCGCCACCCAGGGAUCCCUAAUCUUUGUUUUUAAAGCAGAGUUUAGGAUUAUUCCAUAGCAAAAUCUCGCCUAGUGCUGCUCAGACUUAAAUGUGAUAUUAGUCACCUGAGGAAUUUUUUAAAAUGCAGAUUAUAAUUCUGUGGUGGGGCCUGAGAUUCUGUAUUUCUUACAAAUCCCCAGGUGAUGCUGAUGCUGUUAGGCCCUAGAUCACACUUCAGCAUAACACUUCACAUAAACCCGCCCUGAUUAUAUAAUAUACCACUCAACACAUCUAUGCUACACUACAAUCUCACCUGCACUUAAACUUCCCUAAAAAACAAAUUAGCAAACAAAGAAACAAGUUUCUCGGAGAUACAUGCUUUAUAAACUCUCAGUAUCUCCCAUACCUGCAGCUCCUCAGUCAGGCAUUGCAGAAUUUUAUUCUAUUCCUAGGACAAUCAUUUUCCAUAUUCUAUCUGUCUUUUUCUUUUCUACCUCUACCUAUGAGACUACUCAUUGUCUCACUAUUGAGUCUCAUUUUCUUUAGUAAUAGAAACUCUGGGUUUUAGCCUGGAACUAAAAGCCCAGCUGAAGUCCAUAUUUCCUCCAGCUCCCCCCACAGCUAGUAUUAGCUAUGUGACUAAGUUGUAGCUAAUGGGACGUGAGUGUAAGUGGUGUGUGAAACAUCUGGAUUCUGUCUUUAAAAAGAAAAGAUUAUGGGGGCACCUGGGUGGCUCAGUUGGUUAACCAUCUGACUUUAGCUCAGGUCAUGAUCUCAGGGUCCUGGGAUCAAGCCCGCAGUCAGGCUUCACACUGAGUGAGGAGUCUGCUUGUCCCUCUGCCCCUCCUUCCAGCUUGUAUUCUCUCUCUCUUCUCUCUCAAAUAAAAUCUUUAAUAAAAAUAAAUAAAAGGAAAGAUUAUGUUCUCUGAGUAUUUUUUCCCAUGUUCUCCCUUCUUAUCAUUUAGAAUACAGACCCAGAAGACAUCAGUAAUUUUUGGCCAUGAGACAAGGCCCAUAUCUGAGGUAGCAGAACAAAGGGUAGAAGAAACCUGCUGCGUUAGGUUUCUUAGUAGUACCUUUGGACUACUGUUUUUGUACAUGAGAGAACCUGUUUAAGUAGUUGCUGUUAGCCUGAAUCUUUGUUACAGCAUCAUGUUCAGGAUGUGAGAACAUCCUAGAACCCUAGAAUGCAUUUCACCCUUUGUUCUUAUCAAAAUUCUCAUUCUUGAAGGUCCAAAACAAGUCCCACUGUUCCUUCCAGCUUACAUUACCAUUACCGCCUUUCCCUAAACCCCUAUCCCAUGUGACCAUAUGAGGAAUGAGUGUUAUACAGAAUGAGGUUGAUUCCAGCAGCCACAUGUGAAAAUAAGACUUUCUUUACAGUCACUUAAAAAGAAAUGGGUUCCUAAAUUAUGAAGAAUAGACUCAGAGCUGUGGAAAGUCAGAUGGGGUGAGGACAGUAAGGACAGAACGGAUGAGAAGGCAUCAUGUGUUUGAGCAGAAUAAACUGGAGCACAUAUAUGGGAAGAUGUUCCAACAGCAGCUCUACACCAGUCAUUACACAAUUCCUAGGUUGCCUCACAUCAACAUGAAGAAAAUCUACCUUGGACAAAAGUGAAGGAUCUGGUCACUUCGGCUGUGAAGAAAGAUUGAAGGCAACAACCUUGGAAUUUAAAUCAUUACUUUUAUUUUAUGGAUAAGAAAAUGAGCUUAAAUGUAACUUCUUCAAGACUACAUAAUUAGUAAGUGAUGAAAUCAAGCUUCAAACACUGAUCUGAAAACUUAUCCACGUCUGCUGCCUUUCUAGAUCAAGGAUUCCAUCAGAAAGAGAAUAAAGGGGAUCCCUGGGUGGCUCAGCGGUUUGGCGCCUGCCUUUGGCCCGGGGCCUGAUCCUGGGAACCCCGGAUCAAGUCUUGCGUUGGGCUCUGCUUCUCCCUCUGCCUGUGUCUCUGCCUCUCUCUCUCUCUCUCUCUCUAUCAUGGAUAAAUAAAUCUUUAAAAAAAAAAGAAAAAGAAAAAGAAUAAAGUUGUUACUUUUGUAUCAGCCAUAUAGUUAGAUUUUGACAAAGUUUGAUCAUUAUUACUGUCAUUAUAAUUAUUAUUAUUACCUCUUUUUCCUUUUUGUCCUUCCAGCCAUCACAGAAAUUGCUGGCAAAGUCUCCUAACUUAUAACCAAGAAACCAAGAUGACCAUGACUAGUUGUGCUUUGCUAGACUAGAGCACCAGACGUAGGUUAUCUCAUAAAGAAGCCUGCUUUUCUCCUAACAAUACUACCCUUAUUUCAGAUGCAUGUCAUGUGCGUCCUCAAUUAUUGUAUGAACUUUUUACCAUAAAGAGUAGAUUUAAAUAUCUUUAA